AUAAAACAAAGAAAGCAGUUUGAAUUUGUAUCUAGAACAAGAAAGGUGAAAAAAACAAAACUUCCAAAUGCAGUAAUUCACAGAGUGACCACAGGAGGGCGCAGUUUCACCUUUAAACUCCAUCUUUACACAUUAGUAUCUCAAACUAACUUCGGAGCUUCAGUACAAAGUUUUCACUCAUCCCGUGUCUUCAUUUAUCUGCUUCUUAGACACUUUGGAGAACGACAGGGAGAGGAAGAGAGAAACUGGAGGUAAACAUCAUUCAGCAGUGAAUUUAUCUGUGAGUAAGAAUUCAGUCAGUGUCCUAAAGACCGGAAAACAGAAACUUUCUGCGACACUUCCGGUUGAAGCUUCCGGUAAUCACGCCCAGGUGUGUUCAGGUGUUCUCAGGUGUGUAUAUCAUUGUUUCGAGCAGGUAAGCGGUGCGGACCGCGGGCAGCCUGGCUGUGGAUCAAAGCGGUGGAAGAAGAAGGAGCCGGGGAAGGAGAGAUGAAGUCUAGAUACUCAGAACUCUGUCGACGUCUUCCUGCUCAGAGCUGCUGGUUGAGUGUGUGAAGAACAAGGACUUAAAGAAGGGAGCCGCAC